AAGACUUUAAGUUAAAUAAACUAAUAGCCUUCAAAGUUAUAAAUAAAGGGAAUUUCUUUAAGUUUUA
rnacentral:tRNA from 1 species